CUUUGUCAAUUAUCUCAGGAAUUACUUAUAAGCUCAUUUGGCCCACUUUGUAAGAAUGUCAGAGAAUCUCUUAUUUCCUGUUGAGAGAGGCUCUUUAGGAGUAUAAUUUAUGGAUAUGUGCUUGCUUUUUCAUUUACUAUUUUUCAAGAAUCAAGGGACCUGUGAAUUUUCUGAUAGUUCAAAGUUAGUCAUCAAGCAACUCUUAUUAAAGGCAAAAAGCUGGGCAGAGCAGAGACAAAACAGAGUUCACGGUGGAGAAUAGUCAUAGUAAUUCUUGUUUUCAUUCAUUCCUUCAUGUAUUCAUUCAACAACUAUUGAUGGGGACCUACUCUGGCCCAGGCACUAUCUCAUACCUAGAGAUACAAUAGAGAAAACAUCAGUUAAAUUUCCCAUCCUCUGGGACCUACAUUCUACUGGAAAAAAGAAGAGGCAAUAACCAAAAUAAACAAAUGAACUCACCCUGGGUAUCAGCUGGAGACGCUGCUAUGGAGAAAUGAAGCAAGAAAACAGGCUAGUGCCUUUAGGAAGCAAGUACUAGUUUAGAUGGUCAGUUUCUCAGAAAGCCUCAGUGAAGUGAGAAUUUCUUCCUGACCUGCUAUCCCUGUUUUGAGAGUCCCAAACAGAUUUUUCCAGGAAUAAAGCUACUGUGUACAUUGAGGAAAGACUGUACUUUGUUUUAUUUGAAAUUUAACAAAAGCUGUUCAUCAUUUUGGAAAAUCACUUCACUGAUGGCAAUGUUACUUAUUAACCAACGUUUGUAGCUGUUGUCCUCAGGGGACCCACUGCAGGAAAGGAGCUCCACCAGAGCUUCCCUGGAGACAAUUAUUCCAACAUGACUUAAGGAUCUUUCUUCCCUGAAGCUUUUAUUUCCAACUGAAUGAUCGCAUACUGGAAGUUAUGGUUUUGCUACUAACUAGCUGCUGCCAACUUUGUCUCCAUUGAUAUCUUCUACAGAACAAUAAUUUGCUACCUCUUGCUUCUUCUAAAGGUCGUAACCGUGUUCUGGACAACUGUGUGGCUCAGUGGGUUAAGUGAUCAACUCUUGGGUUCCAUUCAGGUCAUGAUCUCCAGGUGGGGAGAUGGAGCCUUGCACUGGGCUCUGUGCUCACUGCAGA